ensembl:snRNA U2 U2 spliceosomal RNA
AUCGCUUCUCGGCCUUUUGGCUAAGAUCAAGUGUAGUAUCUGUUCUUAUCAGUUUAAUUUCUGAUACGUCCUCUAUAUGAGGACUACAUAUUAAAGAGAUUUUUAGAACAGGGAGACGGAAG